CAGUUUGUUGCUUAUACACCAAACAAAGAGUCCUGGAAGCCUGCGCGCGAUCAAUCUUACUCGCCAAAAGGUCUGACAGCUCGGUGCCCUCACAACACAUUUAAGGCUUCUAACUCUCCCCCGGAUCAAAUGCAGCCAGGAAGCGCCGAGAAACACUGGUCACUCAGAUUAGAACCAGUUUCUGCUCGCGUUUGUCGCUGGAGGGAUGUUUUAGAGCAGAAAAGAGAAAGAAUCCAGACGCACGAGAUGCGACCGUUUCCUUUCUGAGAGGGGCUGCAGUUCACCAGCGGACUUCCACACGAGGCCUGGCUGACAUUUUUAUUAUUAUGGAUGAGCCGCGCAAAGGGCCACCCUUCAGAGGAAAAUACAGCAAGUGCUUGAUUUUAUCUGCGGAUGUUUUUUUAUUAUUGUUCAAAAUUUGUCAUAUUUCCUUUAGGAACAAAAAUAUAAACAUGUUUUUAAUAGAUUUGUCUGAACAUUUUAUGCUAGUUUUAAACAACAUUUGUGCUGUUUUAUGCCUGGGAAUAAACAUUUAACUCGUAAUAAAUAAUUCCACCGCUUCAUGUUUUUGUAUUUUUUACUAAGAUUUUGUAAAAACUUCCUGCCAAAUUAAACCUGAAGGAUGUGUUUUCAUUUCAAUUAUUUUAUUUAUUCCUUCGAUCUGGAGCAGCGGAAUGUUUGACACCGAGGGAGAAAAAUGAUGACGUGUGUUUGUCUUUUAUUCAAUAAAGAAAAUGCAAACGU